rnacentral:lncRNA from 1 species
AUCAGCUCUUUGUUUAGCCUGUUCGAAUAUAAUUGGAGUUUAGGUUGACGUCCCAUCUCACUGAACUAAUACACAUUUUUGUUUAGGGGCCAGCUGAAGCCCGCCUCCGGAUGCGAAAGAUUCUCGCUGUGUUGAAGACCCGUUAGUGGACUUCGGCUGUUUUCUGUACUUUGGUCGUGUUGUUGUCUCUUUGACGCAUUCCCCAUUUCCAUUCUCAAUUUUAUUAUGACAUUGUGAAGACAUUGUAAGAUAACGUUACAGACUUACGACUACGUGAUAGGAAAAGUCGUGUACCAUUUGUGAUUGCUAGA